UGCGUAUCAAAGCAUACCAAUGGAAACAUUGGGACGCAAAGCUACGGGUCUAAGGGUAUGUGCCUAGGAUCGCCGGGUUGCCGCA
rnacentral:ncRNA from 2 species